rnacentral:tRNA from 1 species
UCCCUGGUGGCUCAGCAGGUAAAGAAUCCAGCAUUGUCACUGCUGUGGCCCAAGUUCAAUCCCUGGCCCGGGAA